UUUGUUAGCUCAAGAGUUGUUUUUAAACACUCCUCCCAUGAGUUGAUCAUGAGAUACUCGAUCUUCGUGCAGAUCUAUCGUUCCAGAGUUAUUCCCUCUUUUCUUUAGAGUAGUCGACGACAAUCUCGAAGGAAGGAAAGGAAGAUCUUCAGUCGUUAUGAAGUUGUGGAUCAACCUCUUCAAGAAAGAAGAUCGCUAUGGGGAUCGUUGAAGACAUUUGCAACCUUUCUCCCUUUGUGUCUCUCUUUUCAUACCUUAGGAAUCUCGGGGACGAGAUUCUUGUAAGGGGGAUAGAGUUGUAACAUCCCUAUUUUAGUUAAACCUAAAUAGGAGUUGUAAUGUGCAUCAUGAGCAUGGCAUGCAUUAUUUUAUUUAACUCUCGAGAACAUACAUUGAGGAAAAUUUAGAAUCGAGUAAAAAAAUUGCCUAUUUUCUUUCAUGUUUUAAAUGUCCUCAAAAAGUUUUCAAAUAUAAUUUAUCAAAUUGAAGAGGCAAUCUACAUCUAUAACCAGCUUCAUUUUCUAGAGCUAAAUAUCUAGCAGUCCUUGGAUCGAUAUAUAUAAGCUACAGUACCACAAUCUAAUAAAAUAGCCAUGGAAAGGGAUAAAACCAAUCUAAUCUUGUCUUGGUGAGGCGUGGUCAGCUAGUACUUCUUUACCCAACGUAGCAGAUCACCUCAGCCAUCCUGAUCCAUUCCCCAUCUUACAACAACCGACCCAAAUAGCAACCCUUCCAAGAACCACCGAUGGAGCCAUGGCAACCACCUACAUGGGCCAGCGCCUGGAAGACUAACACCCGGACCUAUGGCUGGAGCAGAGCAAGGCUGCCGUCGGGGGAGGCAAGGAAGGAGAGAAGAAGAAGAGACCCUGCCAUCUACGUUUUAUUCUUCUGCAUCCUUGAGAAUAGGUACAGCCCGUAUGCAUGACAGGGCAGCGAAAUUAGUUUUCUUUGUUUAAGAUCCGUCCCCUGUUUUCCCGUGAGAUGAGCUGAUGCCUGGAAGGUUUAUUCUUAGAAAUCUGUCUUGUAACUUUCAGCUAGAGAGAGAAAGUUGCAGUACAGAGUUUCAGUUUGAAGUAGAACAGAGCAACGGAGCAUCCAUACUUGCUGUUUGCUAACGUCUUAGGUUUAUGUGGUCUGAAAAUCCCUUUGGUGUUGUCCAAAUAUCUUGCCAAACUGAACCAUGUGUCAUAUUCGAAUUUCAGCAACAAGGAGAAAGAACACGUGCCCGAGACGAUGAAGAUCGACAACGACGCAGAUCAAUAAUUGUCCAUCAGCGAACAAGUCAAGCAUGGGAUCCUCGAAGAUCCAUAUUGGUUUGUCAGGGACAAAGGCAAGCCCUAGCCUGGUUCAUAUAUGUUUUUGAAAUGCUUUUACUUCUGGUUCCUACAUAUUGCACACGAUUCAACUGUCUUUUAUCGAUAGGUAGAGUUAUCCUAUCUAUUGCAUGUUCCCCCUUGUAGCCUCAAAUACCUGAUCCACCGCUCCUAGCAUAACUAGGUUGGGCAUGUGUGCAUCGCUAGAGCCUUUAUCUCUUUAUGCUUAGCCAUGCUUAGUUUGUUACGCUACUACUCCGGUCUUCGGACUGGAGCCAUACAAUGAAUGAAACUAGCAUGACAGGUUGACGUGGUAAGUAUAGAGAUGUUGAUAAACAUGAUUAAAGGCUCAGACGAGAGGCCACAUUGGGAUGUGGUGGGUUGUUUCGUUUCUGCCGACCCUAGGAACCGAGUUCUCGCCUCUUGAACCAAGACCGAGUGUACAACCAAACGAGGCCCUAUUAUGGUACCCUCUCGACUCACUAACUUGCCUAGUAGAUUCCAUGAGUCACAUAGUUUGUGCGUUAUCUGGACAUAUGCAUUGCAUUCUGCUUUAGGGGAAAAGGUACAUAACAGGUAGGUAAGCGUGGCCGUGGUGGCUGGGGGUUGCGGCCCCUGGGGAAACCCACCUUGCCUCACAUCGUUAAGGACCGACUUCGGGACUUGACCCGUUACGGCGGAACAAUCCUUAGCGCGUGACUCAUGGUCUCGGCGACAGCAAGGUAAAGGUCGUGGUCAACCACCCUCUGCCGGCUUUCCAAGGAAGAGAGCUAAUGGUCCUGGCAUUAAGAGUCGGUUGGUACGUGUGGGUAAAGUUGUGCACCCCUGCAGGGUUAUGAAUCUUUUCGAAAAGCCGUGUCCACGGUUACGGACGACUUGGGAACGGACGUGGAGAUCAUAGAGAACUUUAACCUGAUCGUAAAACUUGACAAACAAUGUGUGUUUACGGAUACCUUCUCCGGGUGUUGAGGGGGUGAUCCGAGGAUAGUGGUUCGAGAUGAUGGAGAUUGGUGGAUACAAUAUGAUGAUCAAUAGAGAUCGAGAUGUCGCUCUCUUAUCCCCUUUUAAAGGUUCUGAGUAGUCGAGCUUCUUCUCCCUCUUGUUUAUUAAAGGAAAAUUGGCUUUACGCAAAAGAAGCUCCACAGAAAGCCCGCAUACCAGCUUUGCUAAAAGGUUGUACUAAGUCUUGCUGAGUCCCUGUACUCAGCUUUGCAUGCUUUUGUUUCAGACGAAGUCGCUCCAACAGAUGGUGGUUUCUAAGUCGACAUCGACGAGUAGCUUGGGGUUCCCAGGUAGCAGCCUGGAAUCUAUGGGCUGGGACGUCGCCGUUAUGCUCCUGGCCUCUUAGGCCUUUUGCUAUCUUGCUAUGUCUAAUAGCAUAACUUUGCUUCCGUUGGUUGAUGUAUGUCAGGUCAGUGACCUCUGCUUGUAAUGCUUUGGUUCUUCGCUUAGUUAUGAGCUUGUGUUACUUUUUGAGUCGUAGAGUCACUGUUGUGUUACCGAUUCUCUCACUGUAGUCUCUCGAGCUCUAGGUUAGGCUUAUGUCAGACGAAGAUCUGGUAUUUGUCUAACCCUGAUCCCGGGGGUGC